GAGACAAUAGAUCGGUCCUUUUUGGAUCGGAACAGGCGUUUGGGACUGAUUGCUUUGAUGAACUGUUUCAUGGCGGAACAACAGAGGGCGCCAGAAACCGAAAUGGGUGGAGAAAAAGAGAGGAGGAGGAAGAGGAGAAGGAAGAGGAGGAGAAAGCAAUGGGGGGUUGAGGAGAAGGAGAGACGAAGGUGGUUCACUUAAAUGGAGCGUUGGAGCAGUGAGUGCCAUGGCAACUUCCAGG
rnacentral:misc_RNA from 1 species